rnacentral:rRNA from 1 species
AACGUAGGUACCGAGCGUUAUCCGGAAUUACUGGGCGUAAAGCGUGUGUAGGCGGUCCUGUAAGUCGGGUGUGAAAGCCCUGGGCUCAACCCAGGAAGUGCACUCGAAACUGCGGGGCUAGAGUACUGGAGAGGUUGGUGGAAUUCUCGGUGUAGAGGUGAAAUUCGUAGAUAUCGAGAGGAACACCGGUGGCGAAGGCGGCCAACUGGACAGAUACUGACGCUGAGACACGAAAGCGUGGGGAGCAAACAGG